GAUGAACGCUGGCGGCGUGCCUAAUACAUGCAAGUCGAGCGAACAGACGAGGAGCUUGCUCCUCUGACGUUAGCGGCGGACGGGUGAGUAACACGUGGAUAACCUACCUAUAAGACUGGGAUAACUUCGGGAAACCGGAGCUAAUACCGGAUAAUAUAUUGAACCGCAUGGUUCAAUAGUGAAAGACGGUUUUGCUGUCACUUAUAGAUGGAUCCGCGCCGCAUUAGCUAGUUGGUAAGGUAACGGCUUACCAAGGCAACGAUGCGUAGACGACCUGAGAGGGUGAUCGGCCACACUGGAACUUAGACACGGACCAGACUCCUACGGGAGGCAGCAGUAGGGAAUCUUCCGCAAUGGGCGAAAGCCUGACGGAGCAACGCCGCGUGAGUGAUGAAGGUCUUCGGAUCGUAAAACUCUGUUAUUAGGGAAGAACAAAUGUGUAAGUAACUAUGCACGUCUUGACGGUACCUAAUCAGAAAGCCACGGCUAACUACGUG
rnacentral:rRNA from 1 species